rnacentral:Y_RNA from 1 species
GGCCUGUCUGAGGGCAGCGGUGUUUACAAUUCAUUGAUCACAGCCAGUUACAGAUUUCUUUGUUCCUUCUCUACUCCCACUGCUUUACUUAACUAGACAAAA